rnacentral:rRNA from 1 species
AUGGACGAGUUCUGGUUCUCUGGAUUGGUCUUGAUAAAGCUUUCAUACAGGAUACAACUUAAGCUGGAGUUCGUCGCUAAGCAGAUACUAGGAAACGUAGCUAUCAAUUAUCUUGUAUACAAAAGGUUUGGGACUGGAUCUUCUAAUGAAAGCUGGAGCAGAAGAAGAAGUCCAGGAGGGAGAGAUGGAGAUGUGAGCAUGUAUACAUAUGUUCUGGAGACACUAGACUUAUCCGGUGGUGUGUGCGUGCUAUUGUAUCCUCUUUCGGCCACUCUAAUCUACACCCUCAGUACAAGCCGAUGCAACGUCAAGAUCGACAGGGGUGCGGGGUUCAGUUCGACGAUGACGAGCCAGGCAACUAGCCUUUGCAUCAUGAACUGGCGCAGUUUGAUCUUGCCCGGUGUUGGCCCUGCACAAAUGGCGUCUUCAGCUCAGCGAUCAUCUUACAUGCCAAGCACCAAACCGACACCGCGGCUUCUGCUGCUGGUGCUAGUGUGGAUGUUUAGCAAGUUCAACUACCAGUCUACGCCGAGUUCAGCAGUGUAG